ACACAUCAGAGAGACUUGAUGUCGUAACCCCACCAGGUGAGAAGUUACAUCAGGUCCAGCUUCAUCACCUCAUUCUGCACUACCCACCUCUCCAAAAGCAUUAUUGUUGGCACCUGAAGCCAGGUCCUGGAGGCACUGCAGUACCUUGGUGGCU